rnacentral:rRNA from 1 species
AUGAACGCUAGCUACAGGCUUAACACAUGCAAGUCGAGGGGCAGCAUGAACUUAGCUUGCUAAGUUUGAUGGCGACCGGCGCACGGGUGAGUAACACGUAUCCAACCUGCCGAUGACUCGGGGAUAGCCUUUCGAAAGAAAGAUUAAUACCCGAUGGCAUAGUUCUUCCGCAUGGUAGAACUAUUAAAGAAUUUCGGUCAUCGAUGGGGAUGCGUUCCAUUAGGUUGUUGGCGGGGUAACGGCCCACCAAGCCUUCGAUGGAUAGGGGUUCUGAGAGGAAGGUCCCCCACAUUGGAACUGAGACACGGUCCAAACUCCUACGGGAGGCAGCAGUGAGGAAUAUUGGUCAAUGGACGAGAGUCUGAACCAGCCAAGUAGCGUGAAGGAUGACUGCCCUAUGGGUUGUAAACUUCUUUUAUACGGGAAUAAAGUGAGGCACGUGUGCCUUUUUGUAUGUACCGUAUGAAUAAGGAUCGGCUAACUCCGUGCCAGCAGCCGCGGUAAUACGGAGGAUCCGAGCGUUAUCCGGAUUUAUUGGGUUUAAAGGGAGCGUAGGCGGACGCUUAAGUCAGUUGUGAAAGUUUGCGGCUCAACCGUAAAAUUGCAGUUGAUACUGGGUGUCUUGAGUACAGUAGAGGCAGGCGGAAUUCGUGGUGUAGCGGUGAAAUGCUUAGAUAUCACGAAGAACUCCGAUUGCGAAGGCAGCUUGCUGGACUGUAACUGACGCUGAUGCUCGAAAGUGUGGGUAUCAAACAGGAUUAGAUACCCUGGUAGUCCACACAGUAAACGAUGAAUACUCGCUGUUUGCGAUAUACAGUAAGCGGCCAAGCGAAAGCGUUAAGUAUUCCACCUGGGGAGUACGCCGGCAACGGUGAAACUCAAAGGAAUUGACGGGGGCCCGCACAAGCGGAGGAACAUGUGGUUUAAUUCGAUGAUACGCGAGGAACCUUACCCGGGCUUGAAUUGCAACUGAAUGAUGUGGAGACAUGUCAGCCGCAAGGCAGUUGUGAAGGUGCUGCAUGGUUGUCGUCAGCUCGUGUCGUGAGAUGUUGGGUUAAGUCCCGCAACGAGCGCAACCCUUAUGGUCAGUUACUACGCAAGAGGACUCUGGCCAGACUGCCGUUGACAAAACGGAGGAAGGUGGGGAUGACGUCAAAUCAGCACGGCCCUUACGUCCGGGGCUACACACGUGUUACAAUGGGGGGUACAGAAGGCAGCUACACGGCGACGUGAUGCUAAUCCCUAAAGCCUCUCUCAGUUCGGAUUGGAGUCUGCAACCCGACUCCAUGAAGCUGGAUUCGCUAGUAAUCGCGCAUCAGCCACGGCGCGGUGAAUACGUUCCCGGGCCUUGUACACACCGCCCGUCAAGCCAUGAAAGCCGGGGGUACCUGAAGUGCGUAACCGCAAGGAGCGCCCUAGGGUAAAACUGGUGAUUGGGGCU